GUCACCGUUAUUCUCUUUAUAGUUCCAUUUCCUCUCUGCCUGUGGUUUAUUCACUAAUGCAACUGUACCAUGGGAGUGUGUGCACACAGGGAAACGUGGAGUGUAGACAGGGUCAGUGUCCUGCUGUAUUUGGUCUCCACAGGGGUCUCUUCCCGUGGAGGAGGGGGUCUACUGUGCUGAGACAAUGACCCAGGUCCACACGGACAGUCUCAGGACUAUGGAAUGAAGAUCUGUGUAAAACACAAGCACAGGGGCUGCGGAGAUGGCUCAGAGGUAACCUGGCUCCCUUCACUGACACAAAGGUUACCACAUGCAGUGAUGAUGCCACAGAUGACAGGAUGUGAUCUUUACGGACAGCGCCCUCUGGUGGGACAUUCCACACUCUCUGUCCAUGCAUUAAGUGACUGAUGACUUUGCACAGGGAGGAACAUAUAACCUGCCCCAACUCCUGUUUAGAGAGCUCUCUCCAUCAUGGGGUCUACACAGUCCCAAUGUGAGAUCCGCAGAGUCUUACAUUCCAUGAAUGACAGCCUUAAAGAGGAUUUCCCACUGACUAUGGAGUAGAGACUCUGUUGAAUUGGUUGGACUUCCUGUGUUAAUGGAGACUGCUUGUUCAUUUCCCAGCUGCCCAGAAAUCUGUAUUAAUUGCAAUACUGUUUGGCCACUAGCUUAAGUGUAUUUCUAAUUAGCUCUUACAUUAUAAAUCAACCCAUACUCUAUGAGGCCAUGCCCCAGUAGGUGGGUAAACCUUCCUGCAGCAAGAUGGUCCUCCAGUUACCCCACAAGGUCAGUCUGUCACUCAUGGUGCUCACAGAGCUCCCCUCAUAGAAGCCAGAGGAAAGGAAAAGAGCCACUGAUGGAAGGGAACUGAAGAUGAGCAGGGCUGGCUGGAUACCACAGAUAGGCAAGGUGUGGGGCACACUCCUUCAUCCCAGCAUGCAGGAGGCAGAGGCAGAUGAAUCUGAAUUCCAAGCCAGAUGGUCUACAGAGUGAGUUCCAGGACAGAGAGGGCUACUCAGAGAAACCUUGUGUCUAAAAAAGGAAAGACAGAAACAAAAGUAACAGUUCUGCCACUGACUGCUCCUCCUCCAGUCUGGCAAUCUCAUGAAGCAACCUGUGUGGGAAAGAAGUGCCCACAAGCAUUGUGGCAGACAUGGAUGGUCCCGAGGCUGCUAACCCUGACCCAACAUGUUAGCAAAGCCUGUCUGCAAUGUGCGUGGAACCACCUGAAGCAGGCACCCAAGGAUGCCACAAUGACGCAGACACAAGGUCCUACAUGUCUUAACAUUUUGGGGUUGACUUCACUGAAAUUCAUCCCAGCAGAGGGCACCCGUACCCCUGGUUAUGGUGUGCACUUUCCCACGCUGGGGAGGAGCCUUUCCUACACUCUCUACACUUUAUGCACAUGGUUCCACCCCCGAUCACCAGGCUGUGUUGAGAGAAUCAGGAGAACUUUGAAAAUGGCACUACUAAACGCAGACAAAGAACAGACCUCCCCUGGCCAGAAUCUCUGUCUAGGGUGCACUGCACACCUUGUAAAUGUGUUUACUCUUUUUUCAAGAUCACGUUUGGCCACACACUACCCCUGUCCCCAGAGGAUUCAAACAACCUCUGAGAGUAUGGGGCACACCCAUGUCCACAUCUUCCUGAGAGAUUUGACUGAACAGAAAGGCCCAUCCCACAGUUCUUAAAGUUGUAUUUGCCAGUCACCAGAUACAGCACAACCUCGCCACGGCUGCUGAGGACUUGAGUCAGGAAUGAGCCACACAGACCAGUUUCUGAGAUGACCCGGCUCAAAAUGACCUCCAGAUGGAGACGACAGCUUAGUCCUGCUCUGCCCCUGCUGUCUUCCCGUCCUAGGGACAGGAUCCGUGCAGUCCUCCCUCGGCCUCUCUCCUCCUGUCACAUAGGUCAGUCUGGAGAGCAACCUUGUCCAGAGCAACUCCAGUUCCUAGGCGCCAUCAGUGGAUCUAACUGUCCCCAGAGCUCUGCCUCCUCUCCUUCAGAUGGGGCUUCUACUGAGGAACAGGCCGGUCAUGGAUCAUCCCUCUGACCUCAUUACUCUGUGGUGGAACUGUCACUGGCCAUUGAUCCCAGGUGCCAUUGUCUCAUCAGGAUCAGCCGUCACCAUCAACACUGGUGCAGCAUCCACUACCUGGAGCCCAUGGGCCUCCAUAGUGCUCACGGUGAGACUCCUGCUUCCCAACCACUGGGAUCAGCUUUAGAAAGGACUAGUGUUGGUGUCCUGGACCCUUGGGCACCUGGCACAGCCAUCCUCUGCUUAUGCUGCUGCACCAUCCAGCCCAGAGGGCGCCUGAACUGGUCUUGUCCCAUAUCCACAUUGAUGAUUAUCUCAAAUAUCGCCAUAGAAGCUUCAUCCAAUGAUGGAUGGAGAUAGAGACAGAGACCCACAUCAAAGCAAUGAACUGAGCUCCCAAGGUCCAGUUGAAGAGAAGAAGGAGGCAGAAGAUGAGCAAGGAAGUCAGGACCGCGAGGGGUUGGUCCACCCACUGAGACAGUGUGCCUGAGCUAAUGGGAGCUCACUAAAUCCAGCUGGACUGAAUGAGCAGGGGAUCAAACUCGACUCACUGAAUGUGGCUGACAAUGGGGGCGAACUGAGAAGCCAUUGAUAAUGGUACUGGAACCUGUUUCUACUGAAUAUACUGGCUUUUGGGGGACCCCAAUCUAUUUGGAUGCACACCUUCCUAGGCCUGGAUGGAGUGGGAAGGCCUUAGA